AUUGAACUCUGGCGGCAGGCCUAACACAUGCAAGUCGAGCGAGCGGCGGACGGGUGAGUAAUGUAUGGGGAUCUGCCCGAUAGAGGGGGAUAACUACUGGAAACGGUGGCUAAGACCGCAUACUAUCGGAUGAACCCAUAUGGGCUUAGCUAGUAGGUGGGGUAAAGGCUCACCUAGGCGACGAUCUCUAGCUGGUCUGAGAGGAUGAUCAGCCACACUGGAACUGAUACACGGUCCAGCAUACUACGGGGGGCGGCAGUGGGGAAUAUGGCACAAUGGGCGCAAGCCGGAUGCAGCCAUGCCGCGUGUAUGAAGAAGGCCUGCGGGUUGUAAAGUACUUUCAGCGGGGAGGCGUUACCCGCAGAAGAAGCACCGGCUAACUCCGUGCCAGCAGCCGCGGUAAUAC
rnacentral:rRNA from 1 species